rnacentral:rRNA from 1 species
UACGUAGGCAGCAAGCGUUGUUCGGAAUUACUGGGCGUAAAGAGUGUGUAGGCGGUGUUCUAAGUCUGUUGUGAAACCUCCCGGCUUAACUGGGAGGGUGCGGCGGAAACUGGAAUGCUAGAGGAUGGGAGAGGUAAGCGGAAUUCCUGGUGUAGCGGUGAAAUGCGUAGAUAUCAGGAGGAACACCUGUGGUGUAGACAGCUUACUGGACCAUUUCUGACGCUGAGACACGAAAGCGCGGGUAGCAAACAGG